UGCAGGGGGGGCAAGCGUUGUUCGGAAUUACUGGGCGUAAAGGGCUCGUAGGUGGCCAACUAAGUCAGACGUGAAAUCCCUCGGCUUAACCGGGGAACUGCGUCUGAUACUGGAUGGCUUGAGUUCGGGAGAGGGAUGCGGAAUUCCAGGUGUAGCGGUGAAAUGCGUAGAUAUCUGGAGGAACACCGGUGGCGAAGGCGGCAUCCUGGACCGACACUGACACUGAGGAGCGAAAGCCAGGGGAGCAAACGGG
rnacentral:rRNA from 1 species